CUAUACGGGAGGCAGCAGUGGGGAAUAUUGCACAAUGGGCGCAAGCCUGAUGCAGCCAUGCCGCGUGUGUGAAGAAGGCCUUAGGGUUGUAAAGCACUUUCAGUAAGGAGGAAAGGUUAGUAGUUAAUACCUGCUAGCUGUGACGUUACUUACAGAAGAAGCACCGGCUAACUCCGUGCCAGCAGCCGCGGUAAUACGGAGGGUGCGAGCGUUAAUCGGAAUUACUGGGCGUAAAGCGUACGCAGGCGGUUUGUUAAGCGAGAUGUGAAAGCCCCGGGCUCAACCUGGGAACUGCAUUUCGAACUGGCAAACUAGAGUAUGAUAGAGGGUGGUAGAAUUUCAGGUGUAGCGGUGAAAUGCGUAGAGAUCUGAAGGAAUACCGAUGGCGAAGGCAGCCACCUGGGUCAAUACUGACGCUCAUGUACGAAAGCGUGGGGAGCAAACGGGAUUAGAUACCCCGGUAGUCCACCCCGUAAACGAUGUCUACUAGGAGCUGGGGUCUUCGGACAACUUUUCCAAAGCUACGCAUUAAGUA
rnacentral:rRNA from 1 species